AGAGAGAGAGAGAGAGAGAGAGAGAGAGAGAGAGAGAGAUGGACAGAAGCAGAUGACUAAAUGUUAUUUUGGCAUGGACAUACACUAUGUAGUGACAUUCAGAGUACAGCGACUUAAGUCCAAAAGUUAUGUCAAUAUUUUCAUGGGGGAAAGUUCAUUGUAUUCAUACUCAGGUUACGCGCAUGCAUCCCACAUUUCUCUUGAGUAGGAAAGCCAGGCCAUCUACUCAAAAGCAUCUAGACCACCACCUUUAAACACAAGCAUUUGCCUUUAAGCUAGAAAAAAAAAUAAAAUCAGGGAUAAAAAAUGCAGACUGAAGACGGGAAUAGUAUUUAUUUAUUUUUUAAGUAAUGUGGAAAAAAAAUACACGAAUGCAAAAAAGACUAUGACUAAGCAAUAAAAUAAACAUCUAAAAGGAGUCUGAAUAAAUAUUGCUAAUAAAUCGCUGCACGAAUAGUCAUUAUUCAGCAGCGUAUAUAAAAUAGCACUUGAUCCAGCAUAUCUUAUUAUUUUGCUUUUUUUUUAAAUUAUACACUGGACACCGACAGUUAAUUUUGUGUACGAUUUUACAAAUCCACAAGAUAGUCAAAUGCUUUUAAUUACUAUUUUGAGACGCUUGUGGUUUGAAGGAUAAGCUGACUUAUCUGCUACACCUACAGCUCACUUCAUAAUUUGAUCCAUAAUAGUGUCCUAUAAAUAAUUCGGUCCUCAUCAUAAACAGUGUCUCUGAUUAAGAUCGCUGCGCGCAUGUAACUCAGAUCUGAAUACGCACAUUCGACGUUACACAAAACAUUGUGUUUAUGCAGCAAACUGUUCUCAGUAGGCCCUUUGUAUCUGUUUAUUUCUCUCCCUCUCUCUCUCUCUCUCCCACACACAAACAAGCACACUUUGUUUAGUGCACACCAGUGCUAAUUACAUUAGGGCUGGAAGAUAAACAGUUGAGCCGAGUGGAUAAGACCUGAGCUGACCCCCUUCUGCACUUUGAACCUUUAAACAUUAACCUAAAUCACGCUGCCUCGGAUCUUUAUCUGAAAUCAAAACAGGUUAGUCUAUGAUUAGCUGAAAUAUCACGUGAUGGGUCAUGUGAUUGAUGAUAAACAGCUUUGCAUUAUUUCACUUGGAUGUGUUUGGGUGUAGUUGCUGUGCAUGUUCUUUCCAUGCCCCUGUGGGUUCCCUCAGGGUUCUCCUGGUUUCCGCCGGCUGUCCAAAAUCAUGCCUGUAGGUGGAUUGAUUCAAUUCAAUUCAAUUAUAUUUAUACAGCGCUUUUAACUAUAGUCAGUGCAGAGGCUGUCUGCACACUAUAUGAGACCAUGAAUGAGUCGAUGGUGAAAAGGAAAAUCUCCCUGAGACGAAAGGAACCUUGACAGGAUCCUGACUCAAAGGGGAACCAUCCUCAUCUGGGAUAUGGAUGACCGGAUGUGAUUUGUGUGGUAAUAAUUUCCAACAAUCCCAGCUACACUGUAACCAACAGUCACUGACAGAACAAUAACAACAUUGCUCAGGUAGUCCUGGGAUUUGAGCUCACAGCCUUUGGGUCAUUAGUGCGGAACCUUGUGUGCCAGCUACCUCUGCCUUGUUUACUGCAGGUCUCCAACUUUGUCCUUUUCUCCAGCACACAUUCGGGCGCAUUAGACACGCCACUAAAGUCCACCACUGGCGGCUAUAAAGGGUGCUUUGUGCUGAAGAAGUGGCUUGUUAAAGAACUGGCAGUGUCUUUAUGAACUCCGCCGCAUCGCCGUCCCCUGGAAACCGACCUUUCACAUGCAAAUCACCGCAAACCGGGAUCCGCGAAUUCACCCGGUGCAAAGAUCGCGCGCGAGAGCAAGGGAAUCUGCGCGAGGAUAUGCCAUGAUGUCGACCUUUGGCGUGCAACUAAACCUAUAAACACCAGAGUCCAGCGCGUGCACAAGUUGAACUUGCGUGUAAAUCCUAAAGUUGUUACCAUUUAGCUACAAAAAAUGGAUGAAGGAGAUUUCUUUCUUUCCCUUUUU